rnacentral:rRNA from 1 species
UACGGGGGGGGGCAAGCGUUGUUCGGAAUUACUGGGCGUAAAGGGCGCGUAGGCGGUUCGAUAAGUCAGCUGUGAAAACCAUGGGCUUAACUCAUGGCCUGCAGUUGAGACUGUCGGGCUGGAGUGUGGGAGAGGAGAGUGGAAUUCCUGGUGUAGCGGUGAAAUGCGUAGAUAUCAGGAGGAACACCGGUGGCGAAGGCGGCUCUCUGGACCACAACUGACGCUGAGGCGACGAAAGCUAGGGGAGCAAACAGG